CAUGAAGGAGAGCAGACAUGUUUUUCCUUUGUGCUGAAUAAACUGCUUGUAAAUAUGCUUUACAUAUGCCUCUGUCUGCCACUUCUGUUGUGUGUUAUUCACUCUGCUGGUUAAGGCGUGCUCAAGUUUCUGAAGGCUUCUGAAGCUGUGAGUCGCCGUUUGAUGCUGUUCCAAAGGACUGGCGUUCUCCCGGCUGCCGGCCGGUGAGCUGGAGCCAGAAGGGGGCCUGCGAAUUGCCCCCGUUCCUUUAGUCACAUCCCAGCAAUCAGAGCCGGGGUACUCAAUGUGAUGCCCUCUGAGUGUUUUUGAAUUACAACUCUUAUCAUUCUGACCAUUGGCCAAUUUGGGCCUGAUAGGAGUUGUAGUCAAAAACAUAUGGAGGGUACCAGGUAUGAGGAGGUUGUGUUCCACCAGGUGUGUACCAGUUGUACUGUGUGUACCCACAGCCAUGGUAGCAGCUGUUAGGAGCUCGUCCUACUCUCAAGUAGGACCCUGGCAGAAACAUAUGCCCAACUGGCAUGUUCCCUCCCUCCUGGUCAAUUGUUCAGGAGCUUCAAAAGCUUUCUUCAGCCCGAACAUCACAGCGACUGAUGCCAACAGACAUUGGCACACUUAGGGAUCUGCAGAAUCUUCGCAGCUUGCAUAACAGACCUCGGCAACUCAGCAUUUUGGCUAAUCUACUUUAUUUACAUAUAAACACACACGGAGCACUGCAACAUGGCUCCCUCCCUCUCUAGCACCAGAAAGAACAAAGGACAAUAGUCCCACUUCAUGGAACACAGUAACACAAACAUCCUGUCUCCGCCACUUCCCACUCUGUGGAGCCAAAACGUACACCAUCAUGUGAUAGACAACAAUCCCAUGACUGCAAUCGUGGAGCAGGAAUUCUAACAGCAGCAACACCCCCUUGCUAACCUCACUGCCUGGUUGCCAGGCAGCCAUUCUAGUGGCAGUGCCACUCUUGAUUGGGGAUCAAGUUUAGCUGUGGUGGCUGUCCAGCAUCUUAAAUUACCCAAAAUGCAAAGCCCCAGACUAUAGAUCCAUAAAACAUAAGCAGAAUGGGCCCUUCUGAACCCCAGGAGCCCUUAAUGCCUGGCUGGCUGGCUGCUGGCCCGUUCUUAUUCUGUGAAACAGUAUUUUAAAAAUUACAAACUAAAUAAAACAAUCCUCCAAACAUCAGAAGCGGCAUCUUCCAUAAUCGACCCAAACCUAUCCCCCCCCCCCCUCUCUUUCCUUUCGGCAGUAUGGGACAAAACUAAAAGCUAUGUUUCUGUCCUAAUGUGUUGUCCAUCAUUACCGAUGCCGAGCGCACGGUGUGAUUAUCUUUUUCUGUUUUUUGACUUUCCGUUUCAGUGCUGCUGGGGAAAUCCAAGAUCAGUUCCUGACUCACAACGUCUUUAUUAUGCACCCAUAAAUCAUGCAUGGAAAAGCUCUGACAGCUGAGGAUGUAAACGACCAGGAAGCUAAGCCCUCAAGGCUUGUAAAGAAAGAAAAAAAAUCUGUGUUAUCUCUGCUUCCUUUUUUAUUUUUGUAUGGAUAGUGUUGUCUUGGCCUUCUCCAGGAAAAAAGACUCCUCUCUCUCCCCAUUGUCCUCCCUGUCCUUCAUCUGACAUCUAAGCACCCUUCACACAGAGAUGAAUUCUGCAGGAAACUCUUUUGACAAGAGCCUUCUCGCAGGGACCAGAAUCUUAUAUACUGUGUCGGAAAAAUUCUGGGUGCAUAUUUACUCCACUGCCCAACUCAGCAAAAGAAGGAAUCUCCAGCCAAGUAAAGAAGCAAAUCUGCAGUCAGUAGACCUGAUCUUUAUUGUUGCAACAAGGUUCAAACACACAUGGAGUAGGAAGCCCAAGCAUGGGGUUGCGUGGACUUUUAAGACCUUCCCUCCCUUCCCAUAAUCCAUUUCCAGAUACAUCAUUGAUACAUCACCAAUGUGUCACCAAGAAGGAGGGGAUAUUGCGUGGUCCAUCAUUCACCCCGUUAUCAGAGUCAGUUCCCGACAUCUUCUAAGUACCCACCACCAAGAGAACAAUUAAACAAUUUACAC